CUUAGCAUUUACAAAAUUCUUUUUUAAAUUUUAGUAAUAGAAAAAGAUUAAUUUAAUACAGUUCUUUAUAAACAUAUCAAAUAACAAAUAUAUUUUUACAAAGUUCAACUUUUCAUAUUUAUCCCCAUAAAAAUCUAGUGAUAUUCAUAUUUACUUCUCUGAUUUUUUUACCAUUAGAGCGUUAUUUAUUUUUUAGCAGAAAAUAAGUAUAAAUUUUGCCAUCACAACUAUAUUCUUUUCAAAGCUCCAACUAUUAAAAUUAUGCAGAAAUAUUAUUUCAAAAAUUACUAAUAGUCAUUUGUUUUGUUUCUACCAUCACAAAUAAUAUAAGAGGAGUAAAAAUGUCACUUUAUUUUAUUCACUAACUAGGAUCAAGUAUUUUACUUAUGGUUAACUGUACUUUUCUAACGAACCUAAUAUCAGGGGUAUAUUUAAAAACGUUAGUAUUUUUGUAGAAAUAAAUAUAAAAAAAUUAAAUAAAAAAUAUAUCUAUUAUUUGAAAUAUUUACAGAAAACUGUAUGCAAUAAAUCCUAAAACUAUUGAUAAGACAAGUAGAGAGAUUUGAGCUAUUGUAUGUUACGGUCGUAAGAUUACAACUAAAGGUUGGAAACCAAAGGUUGGAAACCAUAGAGUGAUAUUUUGUUUAACAGUAGACUCUUUUAUAGUGAAAUAAAAUAAAGGGACAAUUAUUUAUAUACUCCUAAAAAAUUUUCCAUAUUCUGAUUUACUCUUGUUAGAAAUCUAAUAUUGGAAAUACCUUUUUUACGUUCCAACCUAUUUCAAAUAUACCCCUAGAGUUAAAAUCUGUUAAUGAACUCUGUUAUCGGUAUAAAAUUACUAUUUUGCCCUUUCAAAUAUAUUCUUCCACUAUCACUGACCUUUCUUAUUUGCCCUUAAGUCAGGGACACAAAAAAUAUUUUCACUUUUGGUUUUUUCAAAUAUACCCCUCUUCCGUCAUCAAUAUUUUUUCUUAUAAGAUAUAUUUUUUAAUCCGUCACGAAAUAUUUAAAAAUAACUGGAACUUGGAAUCAUUUUGAAGUAAUUAUGGCCUUUAAAAUAUUUAAUUUUGCUGCGUAACUUUUCGGUGAAUUUAACUUGAUUUAUUCUUAUACCUCUAAAAAUGUUUUAUCCACAAACCGUAGUUUAGUUUGUUAUAAUUUUUUAUCCUAAGAAUUGAAUGAUUGAAAAAAAAAAAAAAAUCAAAAAAAAAAAAAAAAAAAAAAUACAACCUUGGCACCACAUUUACACCCCUGACUAAAUGAAAUCACUUUGGCAAGCAGCCAUGAGGUUUUUUUUUUUUAUUUUAUUUUAUUUUUUUUUAAGGGAGAGAGAGAGAGAGAGAGAGAGAGAGAGAGAGAGAGNAAGAACCCUCACUCCACACAAUUUUAAUCUUAUUAUAUUAUAUAUUUGAUUUUUAAUUAUUUCAAUCUAAGUUCUAUCUUUGGAUUAAACUAGAGAUCAAUUUAGUUAAGGGUUUGUCCGGUUCAAUGUAAAAUUAUGAAAAAUAAUUCUUCGUAAAAUUUUUUUUUUUAUGUUUUGUAGUGUUUGGUUUGUAGAAAAAAAAAAGUAGCUUUUCAUCGAUAUUUAUUUGGUUAAAAAGAAAAAAAAAAUUACAUUUGUUUGAUUCGGUUGAAAAAAAAUGAAUGUAAAAAAGUUUACACAACUUAAGUUUUCGUUUUUCGCUGAAAAACAGCGAAAAACGAAAUCUUCAAAUUUUUUUUUGCCAAAUCCAUAAAAGUACUUUUACGCCGAACCAAACGAGCGAAAGAAAUAUUUUCAUAUCAAAAAAUAAAUUUUUAUUCAUUUUAUGCCGAACCAAGCGCCCCCAUGAUUACUUUGAUUUAAUAAAUACUUUGAUGGUAAAUAUAGAUUGGGAACGAUGCGGAUGGGUACCGCAUGACGAGCGACGCACCCGUCGCAGAAACAGAAACCGAAAAGGUAAAAAAAAAAAAAAAAAAAAAAAAAAUCGUACGCACUGAUUUCUUUAGAGAGAGAAAAUAAUGCAGAGGAAAAAAAGAGAGGGUGAGAUGGGCCACGCCACGCCCAUUCAGAGAGUCCCCAAAUAAUCUUAUUUGGAUAGUAUUGGCGUGUUUGAUUCGCUUCUUUUUUAUCCUGGAAUCGGAAUCGGAAUGAAUGAAUCUGUUUGUGGGUGUUUGGUACGUGGGAGUCCCUUUCCGAUUCCGAUUCCCGAGUGGAAUGGGAAUCCCCCAAUUAUCUCUUUUUCCAAUAACAUUUUUUUGGAUGGGAAAUAGUGAAAGUUGAAUCCGGACAGAAUGGAUAUUUAUUCGGAUUAAAUUUAUUUUUUCAACUUUUUUAAUUAAAAAUAUGAGUUAAAAUUUAAAAAAUAAAUAUAUAAUUUUAAAUUUUAAUUUGAACUUAAAUUAAAAAUUAAAAUUUAAUCAAGUAUUUCGAAUCUAACUUAUGAAUUUGAAUUUAAAUUAAAUUUUAAUUUAUAUAAAGUUUUAUUCAAAUUUUAUUUCAAACUUAAAUUAAAUUUAUGGAUUCAAAUUACAAUUUAAAUUGUAAUUUUAAGUUUGAAUUUGAAUAAAUCAAAAUUUUAGUUUUAUAUUUUGAAUUAUCCACUCAACUUCAAAGUUUAAUUUUUUUUAAACAAUAGAUUUAAAAUUUGGACAUUAUUUCAAAAUUUUGAUGUAAACUUUUAAUAUUUAAUUUUUAAUUUCAAUUUAAAGUAAUAUAUUAUAAAGAUAAUGUUAGUAUAUUAAUUUGAUUACGUUUUUUAUAUCCACCUUAACUAAACUCCAACAAUGGGAAUGAUUUAUUCCGAUUCCGAUUCAGGUGAUGAACCAAACAGAAUUAAUUAGAAUUAGCUCUUACAUACUGUUGGUGUAUAAAAUUAUGACCUAUGUUGGUGAUCGAUUCGGCUCAUGUGGUCGAGUAAGAAAGCGACACAUGGUACAUCAAGAGUAGUUUCAAAUAUUGCAGUAAUAUUUUAGGGCUUGUUUGAUUCAUCCAUUUUGGGUAUGGAAUGGGAAUCGAUUUGAUUAAAUCCGGUUAAUUUUGUUUGGUUCGCAUGAAUCAGUUUGGGAUUCCUAUUCCGGACUGGAAUGGGAAUGACCCAUUAGCCUUCAACUUGAUUCCGGUCUUCUAGCCCUGAUUGAGAUUUCAUUCCGGAAGCCCACUAAGUUCUCGAAGCCCAUGUGACCAUCUCACCCUCCUUCUCUUCACCCCUUUCUCAUCAAACAAAAAAAAAAAUCUAUCCUCUCUCAAAACCCUAUCCCUAACCCACAUCAAUAAAAGUUUUUAAAAAUAAAUUUGAUAUUUUUUUUGAAAAACUUAUUAGAGAAUAGUAUUAUAUUUUUUAUAAAUUUUAAACAAUAUAAAUUUAUAUUUGAGAGUAAAAUUACUAUUAUAGUAUCCUAUAAUUUUUUAGUUUAUACGAAUCAAACAAUGAAAUGUGAAUAACUCAUUCUAGUUCCCAAUCCACAAAUAAACCAAACGUCUAGGAGGAAUGGGCCAUUCCAAUUACCAUUCCAAUUCAUUCUCAUUUCAUUAUCCAUUCCAAUUUCACUCUUGAACCAAACAAGCCCUUAAUGUAUAAAACUAAACGACGAAUUUGAAUUUGUAUAUAGCUACAACUAUAACUUCAUGCAACCAAAUAACCCCGGAUAUUUUUUGAAAUAUGCUACCUAUACACACUCCUUGUAUGUGCAUAGAUCUUGCAUUUCAAGAUCUAAAGGUUGAUAAAAUCAUCUUAGGUUUUAGGUUUUUUUUUAAAAAAGAAAAGACAAAAGUGAAAACAAAAUGGGUGGCAAGAAUACUUUGGGUGUGUAAUUUACAUCUGCCCUAUGGCCUAUGGGUGUCAGGAUAGCAUUGCUUGUAAAGUUUAGGCUAAAUUACACUUUUAUUCCUCAAAGUAUAAGAGCGUAAUAUUUUAAUUCUCAAAUUUUAAUUUAUCAUAUUUUUUGUCUUAAUUUUUUAGAUUGUUGCAGUCAACUCAUUCAGUCUAAAUAAUUGAACCAGAUGGUGAUGUGUCAAAUACUACAAUGAUGUGACAGUAUUGCGGUUUAAAUAUGAUGAUGAUAAUAAUAAUGAUAUAAUGAUAUGCCGUAUUAUUAUUUUAUUAGCAACAUAUUAAUAUUUAGUUAAAUAAAUUAAAUAAUAAAACUCGAUAAAGAAGUUUAAAAAUCGAACUAAAAAUUAUAAUGAAUUAAAGUUUGAUAAUUAAAAGUGUCAGCCGCUUCAUAAUUUAAGGGCCACAAGUGCAAUUUAGCCGAAGUUUAAUUUGUUUACAAAUUCAAGUCCCAAUCUUAUUAUGCCAAUUUCUAUCCUCCAUAUUACUGUUGUUUCAAACAGUUCAAAAUUUUAAGAUGAUUGUUGAAUUCAUCUCCAAACUUUAUAAAUUUAAGUUGAAAGAUGAUAUUGAUCAUGUUCGAGUAUACGAUCGCACAAGUUGAGCAAGUCGAUCAAGAAAAUGUUAAAUUUGUAUCAUUUUGAGUUGGCUCUCUUGCCUUCUAAACAGAGUUUAUCUGAACUAUGAAUUGUUUUGAGCCGGCUGUCCAAUCCUUCAAAAUUUUAAUUUUACUAUUUAAAAUUUUAAUUUAUUUAAUUUGAAUUAGACGACAAUACUUUGAUUUAAAAAAUUUAAUAUGUCGUUUAUCUUUACAAGUUUAGUUAAUAUACUUUAUAUAAUUCUCGCAAUUAUAAAUUUAUUAAAGUAAUUAAUUAAAAUUUUACAGUCAAAAUAUCGUUGGCUGACUUAACUCGAACAAAUUAAAAAUUUAAGCAGUAAAAUUAAAUUUUCGGAAGGUCAAAAUAGCUAACUCAAAAUGGUAUAUAGUUCAGAUAAGUUCUAUGCGAUUAAAAAAAAAAAAAAAAAAAAAAAAAAAAAAAAAAAAAAAAAAAAAAAAAGGCGCAAGUGGAGAUUAAAUAUUCUUCAUGAAUUAAAUGAAUUCAACAAUCAUUCUGAACAUUUUGGUAUCCCUGAGACAAUUGUAAAUUAUGGAAUUUAAAUUUAUACAUUUUUAUUUAUUAAAAACGUACGAAACUCACUUGAACUACAAUGAAUUUUGAUUCAAUGACUUAACAUUUAAAUAUUUUGACUGUUCAACCUGAUCUUCUAACUCAUUUAAUUUGAGAUAUUUAAGGACUCUUUAAAUUUUAAAUUUGAAUAUGUUUGAUUAUUUUUGCAAACUUAAUUAGUUUAUUUCAUAUAAUAUACGCGACUAUAAUUUUAUUAAAGUAGAUAGGGUGUCCAAAUGGCCGAAAUCAAAUAAAUUAAAAGUUGAGAUGCUAAAAUCAAAAAAAUUUAAAAAUUAGGUACUCGAAUCAAAACGAACCAAGGUUCAGAUAAUAUUGAUUCAAUCUUCUUUUUUUUUUAUGCACGAAAAUAAUUAAUACAUUACGUGGGAGUGCAGGGAUUUUAUUAUUAUUAUUUUACUAAUCUUCUCGAUUUAUUUUUUUCAAUACUACAAUCGUAAAAAAGAUUAUAAAACUCUUAAAUAGAUAAUAUAAGAUGUGCACGCUACUCAGAUGGUGUACAUAUAGAAUUUUUCUUAUUUUAAUGGCUUGAAUUAAAAGUAAAGCGUGGGUGAAAAAGCGAAAAUGUUUAUUCAUUCUAAACUAAGAAGGGAAAAGAAUAGGGAGCACAUUUGUUGUAACCUCGUGCCUCGUACUAUGAUUCAUGGUUGACGAGCAGUGAGAUCAACAAUAAGGGAUGUAAGAUUUACAUUCCUAUAAUCCAUGACUAAUAAGACUUCUGUAUCUUGUCAAAUUUUUUUUUUCUUAAAAUAUUAAAAAUAUAUUAAAUAUUGUGAACUCUAAAAUAAGGGUGUAAAAUCUAUAACCAUCUUAGGGAUGUACCUGUAGAAUUACCCUUUUCCCACACACUUCUCCAGGAACAUGUAGGGUAAUCAUUGUACCUGAGUUCAUUACAACCAUAAAUGAGAAAAGGCCAAAAGUUAGACAUAGAUGGUGGCAUUGCAGAGGAAAAAAUGUAUGGAUAUUCACUGUACUACAGUGACUUAGUUUAUGCACUCACAAUUUAACCACUGUUCUUUCCAUGUCUGAUCAACAUGCCUAUCCUUGGAUCUUCUUAGUUCAGGAAUCUAUUUAUGAAAUAUGGAAUAGUUCAGGGAAGGUCCAUAAUGUUUUGCCUUUAUUCUAUUUCCCAAUAAUGCAACUUUGUUCACUGUUCUCUUAUUCUGUUUCCUACUAAAAAAGAAAACUCUAGUUACAUUAAUGGAAAAAUUAUUGGAUGGUACUUUUGGAAGGACAUUUGGAAAUACCUUAUAUCUGAAUAUAUAGCCAAGGAUGCCAGUAGGAAGGAACCAACUUAAGAUUUUUUUUUUAAAAAAAAAAAAUAGUGAACUUCAAUUUGGCCCUUAGUGGUUUAACACAUUUUCAAAAGUUGCACUUAACUACCCUAUAUUUUAUUCUUAUUUCACCAUAAGUACUUACCAUUAAAUAAAAUUAAAUAAAAUAAUAUUGUGAAAACCAAAGGAUGAUAUAGCAUCAAGUUUUAUUAUCCUAUAAUUUACACUUUACUACCUUAUGGCACUUAUGAGCACCAUUUUUAUAAGUGGCGGUUUAAAGUGUUGGUCAUUUAACAUUUACUAGCAAUUUGUAAGAAGUGCCAAUAAAAUAACUACUGACAGAUGUUUAAUCGGCACUUGCGAGUGCUGCAAAAAACCGCCGCGGAAAAAACUUUUUCUGCCACUUGUUAUACAUUUUUCGGCUGUUUAAAUUGCCCCUCAAAUCUCUUUUGGUUCUGAUUAACUAUACUUAAUAGUGGGUCCAUGGGUGAAACAAAAUUAAAAUGAUAAGAUAAUUAAAUACAACUUCUUGAACCUCAGAUUGGCAAAGUGAAAACGCGCUAAAAAUUAAAAUUUACCUAAAAAAAAAACAGCUAUGCAAUUCCCAUAUUAUAAGGUCCAAAUAAGCACAAGGACAAGGUUAUAAAGGUAUGUAAAUCCAAAAAAGAGAGAACAAAUAAAGUUGGUGAUCAUGCUUAAGUGUCCUAUUCCUCAACAUUGCUCAUGAAACUCACAUUUACAAAGCUAAAUGUCAUGCUCCAAGCAAAACUCAUUGGUUCCAAAUGCAAAGAAUGUGACAGCAAAAAUUAAAAAAGCAGAACAACAUAGAGCUCAAGAUGUCAAGACAAGAAGGAGACAGAUAAUUUCUUUAGAUGAAAGAGAUGCAGUAACUAACAGCCUCAUUCAACACUUGAAAAUAACCCCCAAAAGCAAAAGUAAAGAGUGCUCUGAAUACUAACCGACAUUUCGUAGGGCCUUGAAUCUGUGGAGGUGAUGCUGAUACAGUCCUAUGUGAUGCCUACAAUCCACCUGUUGAUUGCCACAAUGAGACUUUCCCCUCAAUCAAUGAUAAUAUCAGUAAAAUAUAUAAAUCUUGUAGUAUCUAAUAAGCGUACGACAGUAGAUAAAAUUCAAUAUUUGCAUCAUAGAAGAAGCUUGUGUAGCAUAUUAAUGCUAUUCAGUAGAAGCAGAUUACUCUAUCACAGUAGGAAAGAAAGCAUUCUCUAAUUCUUUGCUGAUAGUAGUAUAUCGAAUAUCGGGCUAUCAUUCGUUCCGCAAGAAUUUAUAAUUGCUCCUGGAUAUACAGAGAGAGAGAGAAAUAACAGUAGAGAUUGCUGAUUUGCAGUUGAUACCAACUGUAAGAUUCUUGAGAAAGAAACAUUCUGAAAAUACAUAACCAAGACAGAAAUUAAAACUACGGCACAAAGAGGUAUACAAGAUAAGCAUAUGCUUGUGGCAAUCAGUUUGAAUCAGUUUGAAACAGACCAGGCAACUUACACCAUAUAUCCUUGUACUGCCCAUCCAUUAGCUAUCUUUUCCUUUCUCUCCAUCAUGGUCACCACUGUAAAUAAUUUGUUGCUAAGUUCUUCUUUCAUUAACAUGAAGCUGAACUCAAACAUUCGAUUCUCUAUUUUUGACAAAAUGAUUGAAACAACAAAAAGUGCUACUAACCGACCGUCCCUAGAGUAAGUGGCAAAGGGCUUGAUAGUUGGUACCCGAGACCCAAGUUCGAAUCCUAGUUGAUUCACAUUUCUAGCUUAGUUUAUUUCUAAAUGAAAUAAACGAAGCGGGUAGCGUGCUACCUAUCUCUCUCAAAAACACAAAAAGUGCUGCUAAAUUAUAUGAAACAACUGUUUUUCUUCAAAAGUUUAAGCUACUAGAUAACCGUGUUUUCAGUAUUUAUAUUUAACACUCCCCACUACGUCUAGGCUCGAGAUGUUUUAAUAAAUCUAAGACGUGGACUCGAAUUAAACGGAGGGAAAUUAAUGAUGCUAGGAGCCGGGUGGGAUUUGCACUCAGAACAUCAUGUUUUAAUACUACAUUAAAUUAUAUGAAAUAAACGUUUUUCUUUAAAAGCUUAAGCUACCAAAGAACAGUAUUUUUAGUAUUUAUAUCCAACACACGAAGCCUGCUAUUACUACAAAAGUGACAAAAAUAUACAAGAAGCUAGGCUGCACAAAAGCUUAUAAAUCAUGCUGAUCGAUUCCAGCCCGCCCUAAAACGGCCAACACUAGAAUCCACUAAUUCAAAUUCUAAAAAUCUAAUAAAUCAUGAUAUGAAGCAUAGUUUAUACCAGAAAAACUAAUUUGAGUUGAUUCACAAAAGACAUUCGAGUAAACUUUAUCUCCUUACUCCUUAUGAAUGAAGAGCAAACUCAGAUCAAUGCUACCUAGAAUGGGAUGCAUCGUGUUAUGUUGCAUGUGUAUGGGGACAUGGUGCGCUAGUUUCUGGGGAACGCGGCCCAAGGAGGGUACGAUUAUUCGGAAGGUUAUUCCAAAAUGUGGUUCUUUCAGAACGUCGAUACGGUCAUAUAUGGUAUCAACUGUCCACGAUACUGAAAAGCUGGAGCAUUUCAUGAUUUGGCGGAGUACUGCUCUGACAAUCAAACGCUACUUGAGUCAAAAUUAAACUUUUGCACUUGAGUUAGGAGCCAGAAAUUCUUGUGACAUUAGGUUAUGCACAAAGGCCUCGACUUAUAUUAAUUAUAGUUGCAUUUCAGUUUCCUUCAUCUAUGAUCUAGACUUCAACCACGCCCAGCAGAAUAUCAUAGCGCCAAUUUAAGCAACAAGCGCUCCUAUAAAUUUCAUGCCAAGCUCCCCUCUCACGUUCAUUAUUUUGUCCAUUAGCUCUACUACAAUAUCUAGAUGAUAGAUAAAAGAGUUCAACAAGACACAAUAACACAAGCAACCACUCCGUUAAAGGAGACUUAUCAACUUAGAGCCUAUUUCAGUACAUGAAAAUCUCGUUCAGCAUAUCUAUUUUGUUAACUCGAUGGGCAUGCGGUGAUUGGUUUAUGCCGAGUAUGCAUAUGUCUAUAAUUGCAUAGUAUUUACGGACUCAAAGACUUUUUCCUCAGGAUACAAUAAAACACUCUGUUAGUCGAAUGCAUUAUCCUUAAAAUCACAUUAUAAGGAUCUUGCAAGAACUGAAAUUGAACUUCUAGGUUGCGAUCAUAAACAUAAAUCUCAUAUUGCACAAGCUAUCAUUGAUUUAUAACUUGUUCUGACAUCCAAACAAGCCCCUAUUUUGUUCUAGCCCUAUAACCUCGUAUUUUUGCAAGAAAGUCUUGGAUUAAAGUGAAACUCUGGCAGUAUAUCUUAUGCCAAAACAAAACGAGAAACAACUAAGAAGAAAAUAACCUCCAGCUAAUCAGCAAAACAGUUGACAGCUUGAUAAAGGAAUAACAAAUUAAUAUUUCACCAUAAAUUAUCCCAAAAAGAAAAAAAAGGAAGAGCAACUACAUGGUGUUCAGCACAAAGCAGAUAAAGCAUCAUCACUCAUAAUAUCUAAACUUUCGUAGGACAGCACAUCCAGAUACAUAAACAUACAUAUACAUAAACAUUGUGACGAUAAAUAAAAAUUCAUAAAGACAGGAGAACAUAAGCAAGCAAAUUGGACAAUUAGAAAACCACAGUAGCAACCAUAUGUCGCUUCACAAGCAAGAUUAAAAAGCUCAAAGAGGGUAAGAACAACAACUUAGAUAUAGCAAAUUCAUUUUUCAUUAAGAUGGGAAAAAGAGAAAUAUGAGGCCGUUUCCAGCAAUAUGAAAGUUCAUGCAAAAUGUUAAGCACAAAUUAUCCAUUAUUUUUCUCUUUUUAUUGGAAAUGCCCAUCUGAACAAGCAAAAACGAGUACAGAUCUCAGCAAGAGAAGGUUGAUUCGGACACAACUGGAAAAGGUUGAGCCAUAAACACUAGUAUCAUUAAAAUCUUCACCAUCAAAUUAACAAAAUCAAGAUGAAACAACAAAUCAAAAAACAAACAACCUUUUUUUUUUGUUCUCUUCUCUACAUAAUCAUCGGUUAUACCACUGGAGAGUCACGUCAAAUCUGGCUCUGAUGCAAGCUGAUCCACACUCAUCAGCCUCAUAGACCUAACCAUGAAGUCAUCAGAAGCACGGAUUCGAACCAACCUAUCUCGUAUAGACACAAACGAUGGAACUUCCAACACUUCAGAUGCUCUCUCUCGAUAAGCCGGAUCUUCAGUAAAAUUCAUUAAAGCUUCAGCGGCGUAUUCUCUCAGCUCCUCCGCGUCAUUUCUCAACACACCAAUAAGAACAUCGACGGCCCCUGCUUCAGCCAUAGCUUCCCUAUUUGCUCCUUCGUAGCUUAGUUGCCCAAUGGCCGCCGAAGCCUUUUCUUUUAACUCGUCAUUUCCAUUUUCAAGAAGCUUAACCAGAAUCGGAAUUACGCCCGAACUUCGAACUACCGAAACUGAAUGAGUGUACCCAGAAAGGUCCCAAAUAACGUCCGCCGCUGCCGCUUUCGCAUUUUCAUCUCCACUCUGAAGAAUCCUCACCAAAUGUUCUAGUAUCAACGCGGCAUUCUCUUCAGCCACGGCCAAUACGCAAAACACAUCUUCCGCGAUCUCUUUCCCGAGAGGUUCGGCUCCUUGCAGAAGCUCCACGUACAAAGGUACGGCACCGGCCUCUGCCACAAGCCGCAGGUAGUCUACGUGAGAUGAGAUUAUUCCAAGCGCAUUGCCCGCGAUUAACCUAGCCGAUUCAUCACCAUCCUUUAGUAACCCGACAAGUGCUCGUAUCGCCCCCAAUUCCACGAGCAUAUGCCUGACCCUCCGCGCGAUACCGAGCAACCCGAGGGCCUGCGCCGCGCGAGUUCUCGAAGCCAUUUUACCAUACGAAACGGCUUCGAUGAGGUAGGAAAGGCCGCCUAAAUUCGCGAUCACCCUCCGCACUUCUCUAAGCAAUGCCAAAGCGCUGAUGAUUUCCAGCAAGUACUUCUUCGUAUCGUCGGCGCAAACAGAGACCAGAUCCAAAAUAGCUUCCAAACCCCCACUUCGCAUGAGGAUCACCCGAUUGGGGUGGUCGAACGAGACGAGCGCGCUUAGCAAUCUAAGCAGAAUUCUCCGGAAUCGGUAUUCGGAAUCGGGCAGCAGUCUGAGAACUACUGGAAUUGCACCGGAUUGGCCGAUUAUCGGGGCCAGCCGGCAGCCGAAGCUGCAGGCAACAUGGCACAAAGCGUAGGCAGCGGCAGACCAGAGAGUCGGACUCGAGCCGCGGGCUCGAUUUGCGAGCCGUGCGAGCUCUAAAGUGGCUUUGGCCUGCAAUUUUUCGGCCCCAUCGGUUUCGACUACGCGUAUGUACAAAUGGACUGCUUCGUCCCAAUCAAUGCUGCUGCUACUACUGCUGCUGCUGCUGCUGCAACUACUACUACCGUGGGAUUCAGAAACUGGGGCACAAUCCAUGCUAGUAAAAAUAUUGGUGAAUUCCUAGAAAAAGUAGCUUCAUAUAGAAAGGAAACCAAAGCAUUCGACCUAUAUAAGCACUUUAUAGCAAUCAAAAAACGCAAAAAAAAAGAAAAGAAAAAUUGUUUAGGGUUUCGGUAAUAAUGGGUUCGGGACGGGGAGGAAACCCUAGAAUUGAGGCAUCAACUAUCGAUCGUCGUGCGGGGAAUCUAAUUUGACUGACCGGGAUUAAGAAACGGAGGGGCUCUCCGAAGGGUUUUUGCUCGUCAGAUUAUGCUCGUGUGAUAUUAUUUUCGCAUUCGCAGGUUUUUUUUUUUUUUUUAAUAUUUUUGGCCGAGCACGGUUCCCAUUUCCCAACCCAGAUAGAUCGACGCCGGUCGGGCCUUGUACCGAAAGGGUGCGUUUGGUUCAGGUAUAAGUAAAAAUUACUUGUUCCAGGAAUAAGUACAAGUUCAGGUAUAAGCGGAAAUUAGACCAAUUUUACGUUUGGAUGAAAAUUGAAUUGUUCCUAGUAAUAAAAUAAAUAGCAUUUGGAUGGUUAAAUUGGAAUAAAUAAAUAAUAAAUAAAAAUUCAUUAUAAAACUACAAUUAAUUAAUCUAUUAUAUUACAAUUAAAGUUUAAUAUUGAAAAUAAGAAGAAGNAAUAAUAAUAUCGAUUAUCUAUUUCUUAAGAAUAAUAAUUAUUAAUAAUUAUUAUUUAAUUAAUAAUUAUUAAUAAAUAAUAAUUAUUAAAUUAAUAAUUAUUAUUAUCUAAUUAUAAAUAAUUAAUUAUAAUUAAUUAUUUAUUUAUUUAUUUUAUUAUUUCAGCAAUAGAUAAUAAUUGAAAUAUAUUAAUUAGAUUAAUUAAUAAUUUACUAUCAUUAAAAUUUAAAUUUAUAUUUAAUUAACCUUGUUCUCAUUCGGGAACAAGCUUGUUCCAGGAAAAAGGUGGAACAACAGUUCCAGCUAGUUCCAGUCUUAUACCAGAUAGUUCCAGAAACCCAGGAACUACUGUUCUCGGUUACCAAACGUUGCAUUUGGGAACAAAGGGGGGAACAAGGGCUUAUUCUCCCCCUUGUUCCCGAACCAAACACUACCAAAAAGUCUAGAAUGUACCCGUUACAUUGUUGAUGUGGUAUUUUUAACCAAUUAAUUUUUUUUAAAAAAAAAUUUAAAAUGCAACACUUAUGACUAAUAUUGCUGUAUUGGUAUUCCUAACCACUCAAAAUGCUCUCCUAGAAUUUACCCAGCCAACCAUAAUUUUUUAAAUAAUAUUUUUAUUAUAUCGUUUUUCUCAAAAAAAAAGAUAUGAUUGAUUAGGGAUAAAUUAUGCGGUGUAAGUGUUAUACAGUAGGCUUCCUCCUCCCCCUUAAGUUCAUUCAUUCCAUUGUAGUUAUUAAAAAAUAUUUUUAUUAUACUUUUCUGACAAAUAGAGAGAUAUAUUGACUGAUUGUUGAUGAUGUGGUGUAAGUGUAAUAUAGUAGAAUUUUUUAUUUUUAUAAUAAAUAGUUGCACUAAAAUUUUAUUAUUUUUAACGAAUUUAUCUACAUCCUAUUCUAAUCCUACAUAUUGGUCAAAUUUUAUAGAUAAGAAUUUACUUAGUUUCAUGUCUUUACUUUCGAUUAAUUUCACUAUUUCAUUACCAUUUUUUUUUUCUUAUAGUUUUACAUAAAACCAAACAACCUCUUACUCGAAAAUCAAACAUGCCAAAUAACUCACGAAUAGAAGUGCAAAUAGCUUCAGUUUGGUUGAGCUCCUAUUCCGCAUAGGGCAAUAAGUGAGAACUAAAAAUAUAAAUAAAUAGGCUAAAUUACAGAAAACCUCCCUAUAAUAACCCGCUUUUUCACUUCCCCCCUGACAUUUAAAAACCUACACUUUGCUCCCCUGUAAAAUGAAAAAUGUGCACUUCACCUCCUACCGUUAGGGUUCCGUUAAAAAAUAAUUUUUUAUGCCGAAAAUACCCCUCUGCCAUUGCUGCCGCCGCCUCCCCGCCCCGCAUUAUGCUCCCGUGGCCGUAAUUCGCAGUGCCGGAGGUGAACAUGUCGCUCCGCGCGACGGGCCUCAGCGGCGCCGCGCCGGGUUUCGCCGGGCCUUAGCGGCGCCGUGCCAUGCCGUGCUCGUCGUGGAGGCUGCGGUGGGGAUGAUCGGGACGAAGCCCGUGCGGCGGUGCCCGGGUUUGGAAGCGGCGGCGCCGGCGGAGUUGUGAGCGGCCUUCCUGCUCGACCUGAAGAGAAACUCGCCGGAGUGAGUUUGGCGCCCCGCGAGGCCGGCGGAGGAGAGUGAGGAGAGAAGAUGGGGAAGAAGACGACAAUGGCGAGGGACAAAAUGGUCAUUUUACACACCGUAACUCCCUUCUGAACAUUUUUUAUUUUACAGGGGGGCAAAGUGUAGGUUUUUAAAUGUCAGGAAGGAAAAGUAAAAAAGUGGAUUAUUAUAAGGAGGUUUUUUGUAAUUUAGCCAAAUAAAUAUAAUCUAUUUUGAAUUCGUUUCGAUCCGUCAAGUGCAGGAGACGAGAGAUCCGUGUUUUUCUUCGAUCUAUUCUAACGUGCUAAAAAAUUGUCAAAAAAUUCGAUCCUCUCUUCCAAUCCAUUUUUAAGAUUAAGAUUAAUUCGUUCCGAAUUCUCUGCCGUCCGGUCCGUCCACGUUUGCAUCUCUAAGGACGGACAGGGAGCAGCGUUUUCCCUAUUUAUUAGUGGAUAAGAGCCAAGAAGAUAUUCCGCCUCCGGGGGCUUUCUCUCUCCUCUCUCUCUCUCUUUCCAAAAACCAACCAUUCGCCGCUCACCGUUCACCACCAGUAAUGGGGAAAGCGUUUCCUUCUAAUUCCCCCCGACCUUAUUCUCCUUAGAAACAGGGGACGCAACAAUUCACUUCAAUGGCGCUGCUAGGUCUCCACCCCUCUCCCCUCUUCUUCUCCUCCCCUCCUCCAUCUUCUUCAUCUUCUUCUUCUUCUUCUUCUUCUCCUCUCUACGGUCUGCGCCGUUGCCUCGCCGUCGUCGGCUUCGCCGUCUUCUCCUCCCACUCCAACCCCCGCCUCCUCAAGUCCGGCCGCCGAUCUCGCCAUGGCCGGAGAACGCCGCCCUACAGCGACGAUGCGGAGGAGGAGGAGGGGGAGAGCAAAGAAGAGGAGUUCUCUGAUGAUGUGAGUGGCUUUGAUUAUAUUGUUAUUUUCUUGUUGUUUGAUUGAUGUGUUGGAUUGGAUUGUCACAUCCUAUUAUUCCCACCUCUGAUCAGACCAAAAAGAAAAGAAAAGAAAAGAAAAGAAAAGAAAUUGUGUGUGAUUUAGGUUUAAGCAUUUUUGGGCCAGUGGUUUGGGUUGAACGAAUUAUUAGCGCUAAUAGGCUCGGACGUUGUAUUUGAUAUCAGAACCAAUUUGAAAAUAUGUGAUGGGUCUCACAUUUCAUGAUGCACAGUGCACUAGUAAUAAUAACUGGAUUUAAGUAUUUUGGAUUGGUGAUUUAAAUCCAACGAGUUAUUAGUGCUAAUAGGUUGGGUCAUUGCAUCUUGUGAAUUGAAUCCUUAUCUUGAAUUGUUUAAGGUUUUUUGUGAUCCCGUUUUUGUAAUUGAAUUGAUGAUGCUGAUUAAUCGAAUCAUUCAUGCUAGUUAAUGAUGUUUCGCUCUAAAUUCGUUAUUCAGUUUUGUGCAUAGUUCUGUUCUUGUGCCUGUAAGCAGCACCAACACUCCUGUGGGUGUUGCUGUAUUGGAGUUUGGGCUCCUUAUGCUGAUGUGCUUUGAGUCGAGUGAGAUGGAGAUGUGUUGUUUGAUUGAGGACGGAGUGGCGUCUUGUUGGUGGUUGGGGUGAGGUUAAUUUCAAUGAUUGGUUGUACGAUAUGGGAUGGUGUGUGUCAUGCCUGCCGUGCUUAUGUAGACGGGUCAAAAACCAACUUGUGUGACAACACAUAUUGGCUUAAAAAACUUAUUUCUUUGGCAUCAAUAUAUUUUAAUUGCCUAUUAUAUAUCUUUGUCAAAUUUUCUGAAUUUUAUUAAGAUAACUAUUUGCUAAUUGCAAAGAAAAAGGAUUUUAAGACAUGCCAUCAUCAUAGGGGUCGUAUCAUGCUGGUAUCUUGUUAGCAUGAUAAGCCACGAUGGAUGCGGCCCAUGCUGAUGGGCAUUUGAAUCCUUAGGUUGAGUUUUGGUGGUGUGGAAAAGGGUGAGAGAGAGGUGAUUUGGUGUUUCACUUGUGAAUGAGAUUUUAUGGGCUUUGGAAGAGAGACUUGUCAAGAAGAAGUAUUGCUGUGGUGUGCUGUUUCUUGACAAUUUGUUGUGAGAACAACUAUGCUGUGGUGUGUUGUUUCUUGGUAAUUUGUUUCUGAAAACAGUUAUGCUAUGGUGUGCUGUUUCUUUAGGAUCAGUACGUUGCUCCUCAUGAUAUUUUCAAUCCUAGCCCACUGGUGCUCUUCAAUCACUAAUUAUACUUGCCCAAUCGCUAUCAAAAAUGCCAUAGAUAGAAAAUUCUUAGUGUACCAUAACUCGAGACUAAUGCUUCCAUUGGAAUAUCUCAUAAUUUUCUUUCACUGCACUCUUUUUCAUAAACUAAGGUAACUGCAAGUUCCUUGCACAAUAAUGGCUCGGUAUUUAUCACUUACAAGUAAUUUCGGUGGACAGCGCGUUGGUACCCUCCUUUUACCCUCAAUAUUUGAUGCUUCAGCUAUCUUAUUGUUAGGCACGAUGCUGCCACCUGCUGCGUAACUAUCUCUGUUGCCUAUGCCUGGGAGAUAUUGCAGAAUUAUGCUCCUUUACCUUGGUGCAUAAGGAGUCACCAACUAUCGCUGAUUGUGGCUCCAUUUUUAGUCCAGGCCAUCCUUUGUUAACCCUACUGCACUGAAUGUUCUUCCCCCUGCCACCUCUCUUUCCUUUGCUUUGCUACCGUCUCCCCUCUACCACUUCUUCGCCUCUUCCUGUGUUCCUUCUAAACCUCUGCUGGCAACUGCUGCUGCCUUAGUUGCGCCGACACUAAAAUCCCUCUGCCUGAUCAUAGUUUAUGGUCUCUUUCUUCGUUCCUUCAAGCUGCUGUGUCACCCUCAUCACCCUCCCUUCUAUUAUAGGAUCCUUCAGUAACAACCGAGAAAUGCUUGUCCAGUCUUUCAACUUUCAGUCAGAUGGUUCAUUCGCUUGUGAUUUGGAUUUUGAUCUAUCCCAUGUUGGAUUUGAUCUGAAUUCAGCUGUAAAUUAGAGGUUGCUGGUAUAGUUGCAUCUGUUGCCAUCGCUUUUCUUCCUCCUUUAAGCCAGCCCGCUUCCCUACCGUUCAUCCUCCACCUUGGUUCACGCCCUUCCUCUUUCACUCUCUUAUAGAGUUAGUUCUCUAUAAAGUUGAGUUUAGUGAUGUAAACAGAAUCUGAGCUCUAUUUAAAGAUAUGUAUUCCACAGGACAGGAUCAUCCGUGUUUCUCUCUCUCUCUCUCUCUCUCUCUCUCUCUCUUUCUCUCUCUCUCUCGUAGCUUAGGGGCUGUUUGGUUGUACGCAUUUGCAACUGCAGUGCAGUUGCAAAUGCAUGCAGCCACAAUUCCUUUGUUUGGUUUAGUGUAGUUGAGUUCAAUUGCUGCAGUUCCAACUGCACAAGAAGGGCCAAAUGCUGCAGUUGGAACUACAUUCAAAUUGGUCGUAGUUCCAACUGCAGCAGUUGGUGAGGGAUAGGAUCACCCACAAAUUAAUAAUAAUAAAUAAAUAAAUAAAUAAAUAGCUAAAUAAAUAAAUAAUAUAUGUAUUUAGGUAAAUACAAAUACUUAUAAAUAAACUCAUACUAAUAAAAUUUUUUAGACAAUCAAGCUUUGUGCAAAAAAUUAAUUUUUUUAAAUUUAUUUUAUUUAAAAUAUAAAUAUAGUUUUUUUUUCUAAAUUUUUAUAGAAUGUGAUCGUGUAUGUUAAUUUAAUAAGUUUUAAUUAAUUAUAAUUAUUAAAUUUGAUAAAAAAAAAGAGAGAAUCGUUUAAAUUUUUAAAGUUUGAUUUACAUAUUAAAAUUAAAUAAAUUAAAAAUUUUAAAUGUGUCGAUUAAUAAGUUGAAGAAUUAUUGAAAAAUAUAAAAAUAUUAUAUAUAUCUACUUAUUUAUUUAUAAAUAGUAAAUUUAAAUAAUUAAUAAAUUUAUAUAAUUAUUUUAUGUUUAGUGAAGAUAACCUCACCACUCUAUCUGAAGAGGUGACAAAAUUCAUAAAUACAACUAUCAACUUCAUAUUACCAAACAGAAGAAAUGUAACUGCAGCAGUUGCAACUGCGUAAAACCAAACAGACUAGGUGUAAUUAUAACUGCAGUAUUUACAACUGCAUGUAUUUUCAACUACACUGUUUCUGCAACUACAUCUAACCAAACGGCCCCUUAGUGCAUCACCAAUAACUUCACUCUCUCAUUUUCUUAUACUCAUAUUAUUUGGUUUGUUGUCAUGUGCGAGUCCUAUACACCGUGACAAUUUGUAUAGGAUGUGUCAUUGUUAGGAUUACCAAACAGUACCACAUUAGAUUUUGCAGGAGAGUUUGUAGGGCUAUUUAUAUGAAUAGCACAUUACAACCGGUUACUUUUGCUUUAACAAUUUUGAAAUGUGGUCAUGGCCCAAAGGUUACUAAUACUAGCAGGUUCGUCUGGGAAAUUAAAUUUGAUAUUGAAGCCAUUCUCAGGGGUACUAGUAUGUGGGAUUCGGAGUAUAUAGGUGUGUACUUCCUCUUUUAAUUAAUGAUUUUAUAUGCCUGAUGUUGUGCAAAAAGUGAAGUUCUAAAUUUGCACUCUUGCAGUUGUGAUUGGCUGUGGAUUUGUCGUACAUUUGUUAUAGUUCAUUGUUUUUCAACUUGUUGCUUAUGAUUAAUAGUUUUUGCUUCUGAAAUCAUUCUUGAAGUGAUUUCUUGAAGUGAAGUAUGUGUAACAUCUCUAUGGCUUUUAGGUUUGUACUGCUUAUUGUUGAGUAAAUUAUUCCAUUAUCUGAUUUAUUUUUUGGAAUAUGAACAACAAAUUUUUAUAAUAUUAACAGGAAUAACCAAUCUGCAUUAGGGGUCUCCUAUUAUUACGUUAUUGUCUUGAAGGCACAAUCUUCAUCUAAUCAAAUUUACACCUAAUUUAGGGUUUUGUCAGAAAAUGACUUAUCCAAAAGAAGAUAUUUGAUAAAUUUAUAUGAUUUAAUAACUCGCCUAAAUUGGCUAACCCACACUAAUGGUAGCCAAUUCAAAGAUCAAAGUUAUAAACUAAGAUAAUGACUUUUGAUACAAUAAGAUAUCAAAAUCCUAACUAAACUCAUAUCGGACAUAACAUGACUUUUAUUGACUAAAUUUGAACCAAAUUAGGCCCAACUAAACAAAAUUUCAAAGAAUUCAUAAUGAGCCAUAACUCUACGUGAUUCCAUCUUCCACCCUCUAAAUUUGUUAUGCAAAUUAUUGUGGCUGGUUACUUAAUGCAAAAUGUUACUAAUUUCAAUUAUGAAUACAAUGAACCUUUUUUGUGAUGAUGCUUAUUAAGCAUUAAUAAUAUGUUUGUCUAUUACUAAAUAUGAAGGAUUAUGCUGCUGAGUCAACAAAUAGAAAAUCCACAUUGGUGCUUAAUGAACAUCGACAUCCUGCAGUUGUUCGAUUAAUCGAUGUAAUGUCUUUUUUUCAUAAUUUCCAUAUAGACUGGGAACAUGCCUAGUAAUUCUGGUUGCUGAGGUCUAAGAAUUAGAAUGCACCAUUGGAUUCUUUUGAUGAAGUAUGAACUUCAGAGUAAGAUGGUUGCUGCUUUUGUAUAAUAUUUUUCAUUUAUAGUUCCUUCUGCCUUCAUUGUGUUUACAUCAUGAUAUAUCUUCUCAUAUUAUUCUCUAUGGUUCAGGAUGAUUUUUCAGAUUUGGAGUACCAUGGAGCUAAACUUAUUGACGCAGAUCUUCAAAAGUUUAACUUGAGUAAACCUUUCGAAAAGCCAGGUAUCUGACAACCAUACGAGAAGUCUUACAAGGACAGUUAUUAUUAGCAUUCUUAGAUCAUACCUUCAAGGUAACAAAAUGCUUCUCCGAACAGGACGCGAAAAGAAGCAGUCAAAAACCGUUGAUUUGGACAGCAUAGAAAAGGUAUAUUACUAUAUAUGACUAAGGAGCUUCUGGAUUAUUUGCUGGUGAAGGAAUUAUAUAAAAUAUUCAUCUUUCUUUCUUAUUGCAGCUGAAGAAUGAAACCAAAGUUAGUUUUCAGAAGCUGCAAAAAGAACUAGAUUUUGAUGAGAAAUGGUUUCCACUUAUCGACUACUUGAGCACUUUUGGAUUGAAAGAAUCUCAUUUUGUUUCCAUCUACGAGAGACAUAUGCCUUGCCUUCAGAUAAACUUGGCUUCAGCGAAGGAGAGAUUGGGAUUCUUGUUAGCUAUUGGUGUCAAAAACAAAGAUAUGAAAAGGAUACUUACGAGGCAGCCGCAAAUCUUAGAGUAUACUGUUAACAAUUUGAAAUCCCAUGUUUCCUUCUUGGCGAGUAUAGGAAUUCCAAACUCUCGAAUGGGCCAGAUAAUUGCUGCCACUCCAUCCCUGUUCUCUUACAGUGUAGAACAUUCCCUGAAGCCAACAAUUAGAUAUUUGAUUGAAGAAGUGGGUGUGAAGGAAAGUGAUGUUAGCAAAAUUGUGCAGUUAAGCCCCCAGAUUUUGGUUCAAAGGAUCGACAACUCAUGGACCUCUAGAUUCUCUUUCUUGUCGAAGGAACUAGGAGCAUCCAAAGAUAGCAUGGUCAAAAUGGUCACCAAACACCCACAACUCCUUCAUUACAGCAUUGAGGAUGGGAUUUUGCCUAGAAUCAACUUUCUCAGGAGUAUCGGCAUGCGCAACUCUGAUAUUUUGAAAGUAUUAACAAGUCUUACUCAGGUUGUAUUUAAAACUCCCUUUUCACAUCUUUAUAUGCUUGUAGCUUCUGGUAGAUUUAAUUUCUUAAAUGUAUGGUACGAUCCACGUCACUGAUCCCAUUUAAGGAGUCUAAUGGUUAUAUGAAGAAGACAGAAAAACGAGCACUUAUAUGUGCGAGUUGAUUAAAAGCGCAGCCAACAAUUUGUUUGUAUAGCUUGCAAACUUUAGGCUCACGUGGUUUUAUUUUUUUCCUUCAUUUAACGAACUUGAUGACAUUUCCAUCACAUACACAAACAGUCUUUAUACCCUGGGGAUAAACAAUAGAGGUAAGGAUCAACUUAAGUUAUGGACUUCAGUGACUUACUUACCAAUUUAUGUAAAUUAGUGGAGCCAGCUGCAAUAAAGCAAUAGCUGAAGGACCAUCUCGGUAUUUCACCCGUGUCCUUCAUCUGUUCAUCUUUCUCUCAUCUUCCUUCUUAGGUAUUGUCAUUAUCAUUGGAGGGAAAUCUGAAGCCUAAGUAUCUAUAUUUGGUUAAUGAACUCCGCAAUGAGGUGCAGUCCCUGACGAAAUACCCCAUGUACUUGAGCCUAUCUCUGGAGCAGAGAAUCCGACCUCGCCAUAAAUUCCUGGUUUCACUAAAGAAAGUUCCGAAAGGUCCAUUUCCUUUGAGUUCAUUGGUUCCUACUGAUGUUCGCUUUUGUCAGCAGUGGGCUGGAACUACCUUAGAGAACUAUCUGGCUUUCAGGCAGAAUUUACUACUCACAGACUUUGCAAAGAAGUAUGAUAGGAAAACUUUGACAUCAACUUUUAAGUAAUACAAUGGUUUAUAUAUCAAGGUUUAACAAGUUAUGUGAGCACCUCAUUCGCUUUGUACACGUUAUGUCUCGUGAGGCUGUUGAAGUUGCUUCCUUCUGGCUCAGACACAAUAUAUGUACUGUAAGUUAAGAUGCUCAUUUUAGUUUAGUUUCUUUUUCCUGGCAAACUCUUAUAUUGAGGUGCUUGAAGUACUAACAAUUUUCAGGAAAGCUUGGUUGCUUAUAUUUUUACAUACAGAGCAAUGGGGAUGUAAUGAUGUAUUACCGGGUGCCAACCUUUUUGUAAGGAUAAAGAUGCAACUGAAGUUGCUACAGAAGUUGCUACAUCAGUCCUAUGCGAUGAGGUUCAUUAUCAUCUCAUUACUCAGAUUGGUAAGUCGGUUUGCCGAACUUUUCAUUAGCAGUUUAUUGAUGCUGUGAUUUGGAACUUCCAGGAUCAUCUGCCUAUAUGAGAUACUUGCUGCUACAAUACUCAGCUCUCUUGUUCUUAGAACAAACUUCCAUUCUGGCGUGGUGCUUCUGGAUUCAUGAAUUGUUUGUCAAACUGCUACUUGCAACCAUACAAACUGCCUUUGUGAUGCAACUGUCGAAUACUGACUUGUGCUACCUCAACAAUUUUGUGCCACAUUAAUGCAUCAAACUAUGUCUUUUCACUCUGUGAUUGCUUAUACUUUUGUAAUAUUUGUAUGAUCAUCAUUUUUAUAUUCUACAAUUUUUUUUUUUUGGAGAUUAUGCAUGCUCAUCUUUCUCUGAAAAGUCUUCUAUGCAUAGCAAUAGGCAUGCAGGGAGGAUGGAAACAACUAAAAUUAUCAUCACUUUAAUCAACAGUGUUAUUUUGCCAUCUUUUCCAUGUUAAAUUGUCGUCUGUAUAUAUCUAGUAGUGGUAGUAGUUUUACAUAGAAAACUGGGUUCAUUCUCCUACCUUAGUGCUUGAUAAGGAGGAUAAUAAGUUGUUAUGUUGUACCUUUCUGCGAAACAAGGCUAUUGUUCGAGCCAACACCUUGAGUUAUUCUAUUUCUCAAUAUAUUUCCAGUUAUCUUUUCUAAUUGCAGCUACCUAUCAACAUUACAUUUGUUUUAUGUUACUGUAGUACAGAGCAUGAAGUUUAUUUGGUACAGCAAUAAAAACUAAGAUGAUAUCUGGUGCUAGUGUUUAGAAGCAUUGGAAGGCGUGGCGGUCUUUUACCAGAACUUUUGGAUGAUUAAACCAAAGAUGGGAUCAGUGAACUCCAUAAGAUCCAAAACUCAAAUGUGAUCUGGAACCAAGGCUGUAAUCUACUGCACCUGAUCAUUCUGAGCUGUGGUCCACCCCUUAACAAACUGUUGUUCAUCACAACCUGAUCCACUUCAAGGCCAUAGGAAUUAGUCUAGGACCCAUGAAAUUCAAAAUAAUGGCUAUCUAAGAUUUCAUUUCGGAUUGAAUUAUCGUACAAUUCUUGGUCCCAUAGAUAGUGGCUAGAAUACCAACCAAGCUAUGAAAGAUCUAAAGUAUCUUGGAGAGCCAUUGUCAGCCACUUGCUGAAUAGAAAUGUGUGAAAGGGGGUAUGAACAUCCCUUGGCUAUUAUUGUGUGGGGGCCUCCAACACAAUGAGAAGAAGAUAAGGUUGGAUCAGGUGAGUCCCAUGACCGUUGCGUAAAGUUGCGGCUCUUUUAGGGUAUUUUGGAUUGACGUGAUUGGAAUUCCAUUUUAAAUUAAAUUUAGUAAGAGUACAAACAUUAGUACUCUAGUUGACCACAAGAAGAAUUAUCACCUAGUUCAAUCUCUUGAAAAUUAUCUUUCGCUGAAAGGCCAAAAGUUGUUCAUCGUGGAAAGAUCCAAAUUGUGGCAUAGAGUUUGAUAGCAGGUUUUUACUGAACUUGAUUUAUACCCGAAGUGCAAUUACGGCAAUCCAAAUGCCCCGAGGGCAAAUAAUAUCGUUAUUCGGGAGAGGGGGCAUUAAUGGCAUUGACUUUGAAAUCAAAUCCCGCUAUAUGUAAAAAAGGAUGUGCGUAUGUAAUUUACAGACAUUUAUUAAGAGACGAAAAAAAGAAAAGAAAGACAUGAGGGGCUUAACAUUUUUUUCCGCAUGGCUAUUAAGCAUUGGCUAUCAAUAGAAAUCAGAUAUUCAUAGUUUUUACCCUGAAAUACUAUUUGAAUCGAAUUGUUAGAAGAUGCAUAUAAUAGCUUUUUCUUAAAGACGGCUCUACGGUUUUUCGAUGCAUGCAACUUCAAGUUCGAGUUUCUGCUUCUGAAUCUAAAAAAAACUUAUUUUAGGGUCAUACCAAUGUGAAACUCUUACCUUGUUUGUUAGCUAAACACUUGACUAGGAGAGAGUAGGAGUACUUGAAGGAUUAAACUGUUGAUGGAUAGUCUAUGAAACUAAAACCAACUAGAUAUUUGCACAUUUCAGGUUUCCACAACACUACAUUGCAAGUACUCUUUCAGAAAAUAAGAUGAUGUUCACAUGGAGGCUAGGCCUGCCUUGCUAAUAGUAAUAGCUUGGCUUGACACCCAUUCAUAUUUUCAGUCAAUAUAGGACUAAUAAUUCUUGUUGGAUUCAAAUAAAUAUUAUAAGAACACUCUGCUCUAUUUUACACCACCAUAAGGCUCCAUAAGAAGGCCUAUAUGGUCAAUAUAACGAUUGAAUCUAAAUCACCGGUCCAAAAUAUUUAAGUCGAUAGUAAUAGAGCUCUUAGUCCCUAUAUAUAAAACCCAUCUAUCUGAUGUUUGGGAUGUCGCAUUUGAAAAUGUCAUUUGAAAGUUGAUUGGCAUUAAUCCAUCCUAAUAUCUAGGUAAUUAUAAACGUUAUGAACAAGCAGUCAGAUAGAACGGUCGUAUUCAUAUUUAAAAUGGUAUCUGCAGAAUUUUUAAAAUUUUGCAAAACACAUAUGAAAGUGACUAAAAAGGACAACACCAAUUAUUAUGCAAAAGUUAUCUACUAACAGACACAAACCCCCCAAAACUGCACUGUAACUCCUACAAGACCACUUGUUUUGUAGAGAAAAAUAGAUUGGACAGAUCAGAUGCAGAUAAUUGCUUAGUUUAAGAUAAGUGAAAGGGACUGAAUCAAAGCUUAACAACACAUAAAAAAACAAUGCUAGCUCCAAUUCUUUAUCAUUUGCAUCGGACGGCAGUCGCGGCUGAUCUGGUUAAACUCGAUCGACGAAAGAUUGCGAUCGGCCGCGCCUAUCGUUACGCGUCAUUGCGGGCCAGGUGACGGUGAUUCGGGGCGCCCUUUCGCGUUUACUAAGAGCCACCACUAAAACAAAGGAGAUGUAAACAAUGGGCCUAAAGAACAUGCAGGUAGGAUCGCAAAUCCCCACCGCCCGGUGCGGAUUGUGCGGGAUCAUGACCGUUCGAUCGCGAUCAGCUCAAGCCCACUUGCAUUGUGAAAGAGAGGACCACAAUGCAGGUUGAUUCUUGUUGUCCCCCACCCCCCCUCUCAAAGUAUUUUGAAAGGGAGAAAGAAGCUGAGGUAUUUGAGAACUCAAAACUUAGGGAGAGGUGAAUCUUAUGACCAUGAGAGAGAGAGAGAGAGAUAUUAUUGUAUGACAAGUUGAUGUGGUCCUUGUAUAUGAUCCUUUACAGGCAACUUCUUAUCAUCCACUUACCUAAUGUAAUAAAUGAGACAGCUCACUUUAAAAAGCCCUUUUUUUUUGGAAGGUGGAAGUGCUUUACUUUACAGGGAAUUCUUUUGCCUUUUCUUUCACCUGGAGGAUAAUUUUGCCAAAAAAGAAAAGAAAAAGCUAGUGGGUCUCAGAAUCUGCUCAUAUUUAUUUCAUUAUUUAUAUCCACAUCCACAAAUACUGGUAUUAUAUGAAAAAGACCUAAAUUGCUCAAUUAAGAGGUGGUUAUCAUCUAAUGCAUGAUUACUUUGUGGCCAUUCUUUGACCAGUAUUAAUUUCCAAUUUGGUAGACUCUGCAUUAUGAAAAAAAAAAAAAAAAAACCACACUAAAUAAUGCAGAUGCAUAUAAGAAAGAAAAAAAUAACUUUGUAAUAAAUGAUUAGCACAACAAAAGGGGUAGCACUUCCCUCCAUAAAUUAACAACAUUUUGGGAUUCUAAUGUCCAAACAACUCAGACAAGCAUUUCUAGCAAUUCUAAAUUGCUGGUAUCAAACUUCAGUCCAACAAAUACAUUGAACAACCCAAUCACACAACAAGAAAGCCAUUAAAAAAAAAAAGAAGAAAUUGUACUCCAAUGACAGAGGUCUAAUAUGGAAAAAGAUUAGGUGUAGAUACAAAUGAGCUGUGGUAACCAUAAACUGAAACACAAUCAGAUAUAUGAUGGCCCACAGAUGACAACAUUAGCACUUACAUAAUUCACUAUUAUCCGAAUCGAAACAAUCUCACCAACCAUUUCGGUAUAAUGAGCGUAAAGUUAUUUGUAAAAUAUGUACAGGUAAUGUUUCAGGGAAUUAAAAACUAAGAGGAGAAAAGGAAACGGACUAAUGACUUUCGUUUAACACCUAAUCUAAACGAAGUUCGGGUUAUUUUAAUUCUUCGAAUAGAGUUACCACUGUACUUGUAUUUAUCUCUUUGUACCCACAAGAAAAGUUUGUCUCUGUGAUUCAAAGUAGUGAAACCUACCGCUAUGUUUUGUGUAGUUUGUUCGUCGUUUUCGCGACCUUUACAAUGUCUAAAAGGGAAGGUGAUCCCACCUGUACUUGAGGUCGUAUAAAUAAAAGCUUGUAAAGAAAAUUACCAGUUGCCGAAGUAGAACGAAACUUUUCCGCACCGAUAUCUCUAGUCGCUUACUAUUAAUAUACCUCUAUAUGUACUUCUUGUGAUGUUUAACUUGCUCUUUUCCUCCACUUCCUAAAGAGGCGACGCAAACGGAGACUCUGGAAGAUCGAUUUCAGCACUGCGAAAAGAAUAAAGUGAAAUUGAUCAGGAAAGAGCAUUCUGGGACGUUGCAGUGUUUGAUACAUACAAUGACAUAUGCACACAUUAGUCGUGAUUAUAUGUUUUUCAUAUAUUUCAUUGCCAAAAAUGUAAAGUAAUAAGCAGCAGAAACCAAACAAGGAUUCGAUUUGAGAGCAAAAUCUUCUAAAUUAAAUCUGACUUACCUAUUUUUAUCGCUGCGGUUGUUGCUCAUCUGCCUUGUAGUGUCAUCAUUUUUGCCGCCACCGUCCGGAUUCUUUGGAACAAUCGAGAGAUUGCUGAAACGAUCUGCCAGUAAACAUUAACGCACAGAAUAAUAUAUCCGUAUUAAGAUAAGCUUUACAGUGUUAAAACAACGAAAAGAAUAAAAUAGCGCAUUGGGAUCGGUUAUCACCUUCAAUGUAAUUCAGAUCGUCCAUUCCACCGCCAAAGAAGAGUUCUUGUGUCGGUUUGUUCGGAGUCAGUUGCAGAUCAAAAGGGUGUUUCGAUUCAAUUUCAUACUCACGCUCUUCUAUCGACUGCUUUUUGAAAAUCUCAGAAUAGUGACACAGCCUUGAUGCUGAGAAGGGGAGAAAAUUAGAGGAAAUCUUAUUAGGUUACAUAUAAAAGGUCCAACCAGCAAACGUAACAAGAAGUAAAGAACAAUUGAAACUAGAUGUCCGACUCACUCGUAUUCGGGUUCUGAUCCAUUUCGUAGAAUCUGGAAAGGCUGUUGCUUGAAAACAUGGUCUUUUCGGCAUUCUUCCUGCAUUGUGCAUCAGGCAUUAGUAGGGAUACGAAAAGAGUACAGGGCCAAAAUCAAAAUAAAAUAGGAUACACUCCGAUGCAGUGACUUUCUUAGCUUCUACCUCACAAAACAGACUUAUAUCCAACUGAAUAAGAUUUAUACAUGCACCAAUUAAAAAAAAAAAACCGAAUUCAUCAUCUGCCCUAGUGUAAAAAACAUUUAUGUCCUUAGUAAUUUAAAUUAACCAGUAGCGCAAACAUAAUAUUUUUAAUUUCAACAACCAUAUACAAGGUGUUACACAUUACGGAAAACAUAGAGCUGAAGAGGACGACAACUUGCCACCUUAUAAAAACAUAGAAUCUAGUUUUAACUCACAUACACAGCUUGAGUGCCGUCAUGCAAGGCGGUAAAGCAACUGUAUCCGCAUUCCAUUGCAGUGCCAGAAUGAGUUGAAAGAGAUUGAAUUGUUGCAAGUGGAGUUGAUACUGGUUCGGCUACGGUGCAGGAACAACUCUCUACAAGACUCAUAUUUAUUACGAGGCUUCAUUUGGCAUUGCGGGAAAGAGUGCAUUACUUACAAUGAGAAAGCACAAUGGUAAAAUAUUCUAUUUUUCUGUAAAAAAAAAAAAAAAAAACACGCUGUAUAGAUCGUAACAAUUUGGUUACGAUAUAAUCUCUACAGCCCAAGUGGAAAAUGCAAAAGCGUAUCUCUACACGCUUUUUUUCCCAACUCCUCAAGUGAUACUAUUAGAAGUCAAACUAUCCGAGCGUUCCCAAAUUGUUCACACAAAAGCCUAAACUUUUAGUAUCAUGGGUCAACAUAACUCAUUCUUCUCUAGGUAGCGCGCCAAUGCCAUGCUGAAGUAUGACAUAAAAAAGUAUGAGCAACAACAAACCGGCAAAAAUAAAGUAUCCGACGACAAAGUAACAAAUAAGAGUAAUGACAUAAUGAUAAAUUUUUGUCGGAGCAAUUGUCUGUACCGAAUGCGACAACAAGGAAAAAAGCGAAAGAAUUAAUUCAAUGAAAAAGGAGACUAAUCCUAAUCCAAAUCCAAUCACCCACUAACUCUUUAUGGCACAAAGACGACGAGUCGAAAAACGACCCAUAAAGCGAUUGUCUUUACAAUUCUGACCUGUCGAUCAGCUUCGACUUUUCCUUGUAGGGCUUGACCAAUACUCGCGAGCCACAUAUGUAGUGAGGAUUCCCUUUUGCUAAGAUGCAUCUGACCGUCUCGGGGUACACGAAACUCACAAAACCGAACAUGCGCUUCUCCUGAUGAGGAAUUCUAACGUCAUGAACCAGUCCGUACUGCCUAAUACGAACAAAAAAAAUAUUGCAGUUAUAUCUUGAGAACGCCUUUGCUUUGCUUGGAAACUAAUCGACAAAAAUAAAAAAUUACUUGAAGUAGUUUUCGACAUCGUCGUCGGUGAAUGUGCUCUCGGCAGGGAAUGUGAGAUAAAUUUGAUUAGAGCUGGCAUUUACUCCGCCCUGGUGAUAUCUGUCGCUCUUAUUCUCGAUGUAUUUGUGCGCAUCUUCUGCGAGGAUUACCAAAUGCUGCCCAUUUUGACUGCAGCAGAGACAAACACAUACGUCCCAAUUUAAGGGUGAUAAUAAUGCAAAGAAAUUACGAAAAGUUAUCACCCAACUAAGGGGGCAUUUGGUUUUGGAUCGAUGUAAAACGAAUCGAAAAAUUAUUUUCGGUAUGAAAAAUGCUUUUUCCUCUUCGUUUGGUUCGACGUAAAAGAUUUUUGGGGAAAAGUUAACUCAUUUUUCAUUGUUUUUCAGCGGAAAACAAAAACUCAAGCUGAGUAAACCUUUUUUGAUUCAUUUUUUUUUUCCACCGAACCAAACAAAUAUAGAAGAAGAUUUUUUUCCCGAUGGAAAAACUCGCCUACAAACCAGAUUUUACAAAAAGUUGAAUUUUUUUUCCACCAAAAAUUACUAUUAACGGUUCUACGUUGAACCAAACAGACCCUAAACUUUCAUUACUUUGAUUUAAGAGAAUUUCCUCAAAAGUUCCAUUAUUAGAAUUUAACACUACACUUAGAUGAUGUUGUUGUUGUUGUAGUAACAUAAUAAUAAUCUACAAGAAACAAUGAACAGAGAGAGAAAGAGGGGGGGAUUCACCCAUGAAUGAGCCGAAUGCCGUUGUUCAGGCGGGCGAGCAACUUGGUCAGGCUAAAGCCGGACUUCCCGUGCCGCUGGCUCUCGGUAAGGUAUCCCUCGGCCUGCAGCACCUUCCCGUACCUCGCGAGGUACAGCGUCGGCAACGAGGCAAUCGAGAGCGGCUGUCCGACCCUCUCCUUGAGCAGCUCCCGAAUCUCCGCCUCCAGCCUAUCAAACACUUCCUCGUUGCCGCCGCCGCCGCCGCCGAACUCGUUCGAGCUCGGAUGACCGCCGUGCAAGUACCAGCACUUGUCGCCGUGCUUGCAGAACCCCUUGUGGUAGUACUGGCAGGCUUUGGCAGCCUGCAAUUCAGCCCGGAAUUCAGGACAGACGGAGGAAGGGUAGAAAGAAUUCAGCGAUGAUUCGUGCUGGUCCUGAAAGGCAGGAGGAGGAGGAGGACUGUGAUCCCAGUAACGGAAGGUCGACGACGGCGAAGAGAAGCUCCGGGAGAGAGCUGCUGCAGGGGGGAGCGUGAAAUCGGGAGCGGGCUGCUGCUGCAGCUGCUGAAGAAUCGGGAAAGCGAUGGUCGGGAGGAAAGAUUUGGCUUCGUUGAUCAGGGAGAGGAUGUGGGCGUCGGUCCCGAACGCAUAGUCCACGAGUUCUUGAGUGGUGGUGCAGCGCAGGUAGAGGUAGCCGAUGACCUUGAACGCAUUUUCUGGGUCGUAUUUCCGAAUCUUGUUAAAAACAAUGCUAGUAAAAUCGCUCACUUCCAUUUCUGGUUCCUGCCACCACCACAAAACAAAACAAAGAUUGAGAAAAAAAUAAAAUAAAAAUUACAUAAGAUUUUGAAAGAUCACACUAUAUGUAAAAGAUAAAGAUAAAGAAACUGCUUUUCUCAAAAACCAGAAAUUAAAGAAACUAAAGGAAAAAAAAAAAAAAAAAGGUUUUUUUACACACUAAAAGAUAUAGUUUUACCACUACAUGAACAGACUUGUAGCAGAUAAACAGGCACCAAGAAAGAGAGUGGGAGCCAUUCUUUUUCUUAAGAAAAGGGUUUUUUUACACACAAAAAAGAGAGAGAGAGAGAGAGAGAGAGAAAUAGGGAACAAAUUUUACAACUAAAUCAACAUACUCUUCUUCUUCUUCUUCUCCUUCUCCUUCUCCUGUAGAGUGUUUAGGGAGUCUUUUAUUAGUCUCUCAUCAUCAUCCUUCCAAAGCAGAAGAAGAGGAGAUAACACACACCAAGAAGAGAGAGCAAAAAACUGUGUUCAAAUCGAGGCCACUAUUAUAUAUAUAUAUAAAUGUAAAGUCACUGCAUAUUUAUUUUGGAAUGUUCAAAAAAAAUUAAUGAUCAUUUUUUUACUUUAAUUUUAUAACACAAAUGGAAAGAUGAGAAAUGAAUGAUAUUAUUAUUAUUUAUUAUUAUUAUUAUGUUACAGGCUGUAUUGCUAUUUUCCAGCAUUGGUUUAAUUCGAGCGAAAUGACGAAUUUGCCCCUGAACUUAUCCCUUCUAUAGGUGACUUAGAAAUGGACCAAUUUGUCAUUUUGGCACUCUUAAUGGGUGAUUAGUGUGAUAAUUAUUUUUGGAAGCAUUAUAAUAAAGCUCUUUUUUAGUAGUAAAAUGCUCAACAGAAGGGCUAAUGUGGCAUAGUGCAUGUUGCCCACCUGUCAUUUAAAUGUAAACCGUUUCUUUGAGAGGGGAUUAUGGGAUUUUUAUUUUUAUUUUUAUUUUUUUAUUUAUUUAUUCAUUUUUUUUAGAGAAUUAUAAAUAUUAUAAAUUAUAAAUAUAAAUUACUAUUAUAAGUAGGCAAAACGGCUCGCGGUAAAAGCGCAUUUUUAGUUUUUAUCUCCGGGUAGUUUGGAGCCUCACGGUUCGGAUUCUUAGACCCAAAAAAAAGGGUUUUUUUAGAUGAGAAAAAAAAAAGAAGCUGUAAUUUGAAUUGGUGUGUGGAUAGAUUUGAUGUUUGAAAAUUGAAUUCAAAAUUGCUAAUAAGUUCAUAAAUUUAAAUAUAAAUUUAUUAAUUUCAAAUUUUAAAUUAACUUAACGGUUGAAAAUAAAAAUAUUUGUUUUUUUUUUAAAAACAAUAUUCUCGCACACGUAAUAUCUGCUAUCUCUUAUCUACACAUUUUUUCAAAUAUCAUUAAUAUCUCUCGCACUAUCAUACGCGAAAUAUCCAUCACUACAUAAUAUUCAAUCAAAAGUAAUAUCUGUCUUAAUUCAAUUUUAUUUACUAAUAUUUAAUUCAUUUAUUAACCUUUUAUUGAUGGUAACCAAUAAUCAAAUUUAAAUUUAAUUUAAAUAUCUAUUUAAAUUUUAAUUUUAUUUGAAUUAAAAUAUUAAUUAAAAUUUUGAUACUUUUAGUUUAAAAUAUAUAUUUAAAAUUUGAAUUCGUUAGAAACCGAAAAAUAUAGUAUAAUAUUCAAUUUAUAUAAAAAAAAAAACUAUAUAAUUUAUGUCGGCAACAAUUAUUUGAAUUUGAAUUAGAAUUAGAAUAUGACAAAUAAUUUUGAAUAAAAUAUAACAGAUGAAUUUACUUUUUCAAAAAUUAAAUUUUAUUAUAAGUUUUUUGAUGAAUAUGAUGAAUAAAUUUCUGUUGAUUUGAAAUAAGUACUAAAAUAUUAUUAGGAGACCUAUUUUUAUAUUGCAUUUAAUUGAUGAAAACUGAAAAAAAAAUUUAUAUUUAUCUAAAUUUUUUCUGCAGAAUAUACUUCACAUACACAAACACAGAAAAUAUUCGAAUAUCCAAUAAUUUUGAAUUAAGCAACUAAAAAUAAAUUAGAUUCAAAAAAUAGAAUGAUUUAAAUAAAGUAUAUUAACUUGACUUUAAAUUUUAAAUUUGUUUCAUAAUAUCAAGUGUGAAUAUAUAUUUUAAUUCAAAAUUUAAAAUUAAUUAAAAAUUUUAAAUAUUGGGUCUAUCAGCAGAUUGCUUCAAACCGAAAUAAAGUAACUACUUAUUUUCAAAUUGCAUAUUCACAAUAAAUUUCAAAUUUUGAGUUUUUGUUCAUAAAUUGAAAUCCGACUUUAUUAAUUCAAAAUUUGAAUUAAUUCAACAGUUGAAAAUAAAAAUAUCUGUCACUUUCUAUGACAAUUUUAAAUAGUCGAAAGAUUAAUUUGUCUGUAAUUAAUCUUAUCAUGAUGUGUAAUUAUGACUUAGACAUGUCCGAUUUGUGUUGAUUUUAAAUUUUAUUUUCAAAAUUUUGAAUUAGUGAUUAAAGUCUAUAUGAUUUGACUCACUUGCUCUUUACAAUUUUAUGAUUUAAUUACUAAGAUGACCUGCAUCGGAUGGGUGGAACCAAGUCGGAUUCUAAUUAGGCUAAGCCCAAGCCCGGCCCAAACCAAGUUUUUGGGCUUUAGACCAAAAAAUAUUUGAAAAAGAUAAAGCAUGGGCCGGACCCAUAGCCCGCUAACCAUCGAGCCUUGUUUAGGCCCAUUUUUAAAAUAAUUUAUAAAUAUAUAUAUAAUUAGGAAAGUCCAUUUGGACUCUAUUUUUUGGUCACAUGUAUGUACUCGUUUAUGUGUUAUAGACUUUAGGUAUCGUUUGGUUCGGGGAUAAGCAAAAAGUAACUAUUUUAGGAAAAGAUAUAAAUUGAGUUAUAAGUGGGGAUUAGAUCAAUUUUACGUUUGGAUGAAAAUUAGGUUAUUUCUAAGAAUAAAAAAAAUAGUGUUUGAUUAGAUAAGAUGGAAUAAGAAAUAUAAUAGGUUUUAUAAAUAAAAAAUAAUGAUAUUACUCUCUUAUUAUAUUUGAAUUUAAAAUUUAAAAUUUUAAAAUUUUAUUUUUAAAUUUAAAAUUUUAACUUUGAAAUUUCAAAAUUUGAAAUNUUUUUUUAGUUAAUAUAUUAAUUAUAUAAAUUAAAAUACUAAUUAUUUAAAUAAUAUAAAUAUUAGUAAAUAAUUGAAUAUAUGGCUAACUAUUUAAUUAGAUAAAUAAUAAUAAAAUGUAAAUAAAUUAUUAUUUAAAUAUUUAUUAAUUUAAUAACUUAAUUAAUUAAUUAGUCAAUUAUUUAAAAUUUUAAUUGUAAUAAUUAAUUAUAAUUUAUAAUUAUUUUUAACUUAAUUAGUAGAGGAAUAAAUUAGAGAAUAGCUUGUUCCACCCAAUAGAUGGAACUACUAUUCUUCCCUCUUAACGGGUUAUUCCAGAAUAACCUGUUAACGUGGGGAUAAAUUAACAUGCCAAUUUUGCUUGGUGUUUGGCAAGAAUAGUGAGAUAAAAAGAGAUAUUCCUUUUUUAUGUCAAAACCAAAGGGGGCCUUUAGGGUCACAAAAUCAUGAGGAGUUAUCAAUCAUACUAGUUUAAUGUAUUUAGGCUUAGUUUAAAAUUGAGGUCUAUAUAAUGCUAUUACAUAAAAUGGAGUUGAGAAAAAAAUAUAUAGGGAUAUGCUUCUGCAUUCUCCGAUGGGACUGCAGAAAAUAUAUUAUAACCGACUCAUCGCAAUAUGCGGAACGCAAUAUUAUGUACGGAAACAAAUAGUAUAUUUUUCCAACGUACUUUCUCACCGCACGUAACGCAAUCACCCCGCAAUCCCGAAUGAAGCCUUUGUAUGUUUUAUUUCUGUGUACAUGCAUUCGAUGAUAAAAUUGAUUGUACAGAUAGAUAGCAGCUCUCCGCUUCGUGCAAGCAUAAAAAGCUCUACCCGUGCGUCGGGCCUGUUGCGGCCCCGACGGAGAAAGGGAGGCUCUCGCCGCCGGGCUGGGGCAUUACAUCUUGCAAGAAAAUUUUCUCCCUCCUUUGUUGGCAUCAUCCUGGAUCUUAUUAUUCACCUUUCUAGUGAGACUAAACUUAUUAGUCCAGCGCAAUACUAUAAAAUGUAUCCAAUUGAGAGGUUAGUUAUUAUAAUAUUAAGAUUCACCUAGUAAUUUAAUAAAGGAUUAAUUGUAUACAGGUCUCUGCAAACAUAGUGAAUUACAAAUAUAUCCCUACAAAGUUUAACUUCCAUGGGUUGUUCCAGUAAAAGUCAUAAUAUUUUCAAAUAUGUUUUUGCCGUUAGAAUCCGUUAAAAAAUUUUAAUUAACCACAGAUUAAAUAUUUAACGCUGAUUAGUUUAUAAAAUAACUUGAUAUUCUUAUCUCUCAUAUAUUAUACUAUUGUGACUCUUGGAAGGAUAUAUUUGUGAUGAUAAAAAUGAUAUUUCAUUUAUUUACUGUUAAAAUAUAAUUAGUUUUAUAAUGGUAACAAACCAGAAGGAUAUAUUUAAAAAUAUUAGAACUUUUAAGGAAUAAUAUAAAAAAGUUGAACUUUGUAGGAAUAUAUUUGCAAAUUACUAUAUUUACAGGAACCCGUAUGCAUUUAACAAUUCACUAUAUUCACAAGGACCUAUAUGCAUUUAACCUUUUAAUAAACUACUAAUUUGUUGUAAUUUAUUUAUUAUUUUGAUCCUUAGUUUCAUUUAUUUAAGUUUCUUUUAAGAUACAAAAUAGAUUUGCUUGUUGAAGGUUAUUUAAUUGAGGAGAGCGCGAUAUUUUGCUCUUACUACUUACAUAGUGUUGAAACCUAGUUCAACCGUCUAGUGAGAAAUGAUGAUCAUAAUUUUACUAACUUAUCUAAAAAUUUAUUAUUUUCUUAUAUUGGUUGUGCACUAGAUGAUUGUGAAAUUAUAACUUUGGAUUACACAGCAUAUAUACAAGCUCAUCGAUACGUGCUAUUAUUAACUUUUGAUCUGUGUGUAAAUUGUUAAACUUAUAAAUUAAUUAAUGGUCUAUAUGCCAUGAUUUUACUUUUCGGUAAGGGCAUAUUUGGUUUAUGAUUGAAAUAGAAAUGGAAAAUAGAAUUGGAUUACUUUGGAAUAGGAAAUGGAAUAACGAAACAUCCAAAAAUAUUUAGUUCAUUGUUGAAAUGGAAAUCGAAAUGAAAAUUUAGAAUUUUUUAGAGAGGAUUUUGAUUAAGAGAGAAGAAAGUGAUGAAAAGAGAUGAGAUAGUUGUUAGUAAAAAGAGAAUUUUGAAUAGUUUAUAUUGGAAUGGGCCAAUCCGGAAUUAAAAAGCGGAUUAAGUCAUAAAUGGAUUUGGCCAUUCUCAUUCCGGAGCGAAAUGGGAACCGGAAUCUGAUUCCUAUAAAACAAACAACAACUAUCGGAAUCAAUAAAUUUCAUUUCGAUUUCAUAGUCUAAAAUAGGUGAACCAAACAUGCCCUAAGUGUAUUUAGCUAGGAUUAGUUAUUUGCAGAGAGCAUCUUCAAGAUAUCAAGGCAUAUGAAAUUAUACUGAUAAAAUUAAGAUAUGAAAUGGUUUGUCAUUCUUUAAAUAGGUUCACAAUAAAAUUUUAAAAAGGGAGAGAACAGAGAGUUAUCUGCGAAAAUUCAAUGGUUGACAAUAGGCCCUUUUAACCAACCGACCGUCCCUAGAGCAAGUGGUAAAGAGCUUGGUGGUUGGUACCCGAGACCCAAGUUCGAAUCCUAGUUGAUUCACAUUUCUAUCUAAGUUUAUUUUUAAAUGAAAUAAACGAAGCGGAUAGCGUGCUACCUAUCUCUCAAAAAAAAAAAAAAAAAAAAAAAAAAAAAAAAAAAAAAAGAAAAGAAAAAGACAACAGGCCCUUUAAUGACGGUAAAGAGAUAUAUAUAAACAUUAUAUUAGAUUCCAUACAAAAGAUGUUGAGGAGAAAUGAAAAAUCCAAAAUAGUGACACUGCAAGUAUCUCAAUUUUUGUUUGCACACAAAUAUGCGCAUGCAUGCGCACACAAACACAUGCAGGUUUAGAAUUUGGGUCGAGUUUGAUUCCUAAAAAUGCCUCAAAUUAUUUUGGGCCUAAAUUUUAAAAGUCCGGUCCGAACCAAAAGUCGAACCAUGAGACUCAAAAGCCCGGCCCAAAAUCAUACAAAUUCUUGGAAUAGACAUGUUGUUCUAAGUAGGAAGUGCACUUUUACCUUUUUUUUCACUACAAAGUUUAGUUAUCAAAUAUAUGGAGGAAAAAAAAAAAAAAAAAAAAAAAAAAAAAAAAAAAACUUGAAUGAGUAGCACCUUUUACCUCCAUAUUUAGAUCUUUCUAAAGGUCUGUUUGGCCUAGCUUCUGAAAAAGUGAAUCAUACUGCUAACCAAACUGUCUCAACCAGAUCCCGUUGAAGGGCUCUUCAAUGGAAUUACGCUUCAAAUACACUUGAAGUUGCUUAGUUUGCAAAUACAUUCCUCUGUAUAAGUUAACUAGUUAUAAUUGACUUCUUUUCUACCAAAUGAUUAUUUUCUUAAAAUAGAUAUCUUUCUCAUUGUAUAUAACAUCAUUUGUUAUUUCUAAUAUUUUAAUUUUAAAUUUCAUACCAUUCUAUAUACAUGAUAAAUUAUAAGUUUUAAAAUAUUUUAAGAAAAUUAUUUUUUAUGAUGGUCUAACGGUUACCACGAUAAAAUUUAACCGUCAACUACCCGUAGUGAACUUAUAGGAAUAAAUUUAUAUAUUAUUGAUGCUUUAAUAAAAGAAUAAUUUAAUAAUUACAACUUUGUAUGGAUAAAUAUGCAAUCUUGAAACUUCAUCAAAAUACAAAUAAAAUUAUGAAAGAGAAAAAAGUAAAGUUGAGCAACUAUUUCAAAAGGGCUUAGGGGGGUGUUUGGUUUGAUGUAAAAGCUAUAUGAAAAUUAGUUUCAGCUUAGAAAAUGCUUUUUUCGUUGCUUGUUUAUCUAGCUGUGAAAAUAUUUCUUAUAAAAUAUUUUUAUAAAUUGUAUUAAAUAUUAAAAAUAAAAAAAUUAUUCUUUACAAAUCCAGACGUGAGGGAACCCAAUCGAGAACAAGAGGUCUUAAGUUCGAGUCAUACCAGACUCCUAACUUAGUUUAUUUUCUCCCGUUUAAUUCAAGUCCAUAUCAUGAGUAGAGCUGGCAAUCUAGCUAGCUAUUCGUGAGCCAACUCGUGUUCGACUUAAAUUAAGCUCAAAAUUGAUCGCUCGUUUAAAUAAAUAAGUCGAACACAAGCUGAAUUUUUUAGUUCGAAAUCUUAACAAGCCUUAGCUCGCACGUAUUUGGCUAGAUAUAGCUUUUAUAUAUAUAUAUAUAUAUAUAUAUAUAUAUAUAUAUAUAUAUAUAUAUAUAUAUAUAUAUAUAUAUAUAUAUAUAAAACAAAGUUUACAAUUUGGAUUUUUAGGCCAAUCUAAAGAAAUCUAUAUGUUUUAUAAGUUUUAAUUAUUAUUUGAGGUUUUAAUUAUUUUAAUGCUUUUUAAUUUUUUAGCUAGUAUAGCGGAGCUCACAACUUUAACUUGCUAUUUGUACUUCCUGAAGAACAACUCAUGCUUAAUGUAGACAGCCCUGAAUACGAGCUAGAUGGUUUCAGCUCGAUGUUUUUAAAAAUCAGCCUGCGUGUUGAAUUCAUUUAAUUAAAUGAACAUACACGAACUGGCUAGUCCAUUGUUGUUCGGCUCAGUUAACUACCCCUAGUUAUGGAUCCUAUCAAAUUAAUUUCGAAUCCAAAUGUGAGGGAGCCCAAAUAAAAAAACAAAUUAUUAAAUAUAAAAAUAUGAAAACUACCAAAAAAAAUUUUGUCCAGAUGUUGAGGGACAUAAAAAAGCUUCGCAGCCUAGAAGAAUGAAAAUUCUUAAUCUUAAAUAUAAAAGAUAUACAGAGACAAAUUUUUCUGCCCAUUUAAAUUUUUGGAGAAAAUAAUUUAUUUACAUAAUUUAUUACAUUUUGGGUGAAAAUUAUUUUAUUCAUUCAUUUGAUUCUUAAAAAAAGAAUAAAUUUUUUUUUUCCUCAAAAAAUAGUAUUCCCAUAUUUUACAUUUUAUUAAAAUUAAAAAAAAUUAUAAAUGGAGGUAUCUUUAUAAUAAUAAUAAAUAUAUUUCUUGAAUUUUUUUUUUCAUUUUUUAAUACUAAAUAGUAUUGUUCGAAGGUGUUUAGUAUAUAAUUUUACUUAUUGGAUG
rnacentral:lncRNA from 1 species